AAAUAUUCAGCAAAUGAGUAAAGACAGCAAUAAUUCCUACAAUUACAUUUUUUACAGGAUUUUUUCCCUCGGAAGAGUUCACAACAAGCCCCAUGGAAACCCUGAGGGGGGCCCAAGACUAACCAGUUUGGAACCCUACUCCACCAAUCCUAUCCCAGUCAUGUCUUCCUGUGACACAGUCAGCCUAGAAAUGAAUGGAUUACCUAUAAAACAGGAUGACAUGGGGAAGGGACUUUUCUUCUCCCCACCAUUUACAGAGUUAACGCUGUAGUCUAUAAGGCAUGGGGCCACCUGGACCAAGUAUCAUAUAUUACAACAUGGCAAUACCUGGUUGUGAAGGCCCCUGUUUGGACAAGAACUUUUUU
rnacentral:lncRNA from 1 species